rnacentral:rRNA from 1 species
AUUGAACGCUGGCGGCAGGCCUAACACAUGCAAGUCGAGCGAGCGGCGGACGGGUGAGUAAUGUAUGGGGACUGCCCGAUAGAGGGGGAUAACUACUGGAAACGGUGGCUAAUACCGCAUACUAUCGGAUAACCCAUAUGGGAUUAGCUAGUAGGUGGGGUCAAGGCUCACCAAGGCGACGAUCCCUAGCUGGUCUGAGAGGAUGAUAAGCCGAACUGGGACUGAGACACGGCCCAAAGUCCUACGGGGUCAGCAGUGGGGAAUAUUGCACAAUGGGCGCAAGCCUGAUGCAGCCAUGCCGCGUGUAUGAAGAAGGCCCUAGGGUGGUAAAGUACUUUCAGUCGGGAGGCGUUACCGACAGAAGAAGCACCGGCUAACUCCGUGCCAGCAGCCGCGUUAAAC